rnacentral:lncRNA from 1 species
GGGCGGCGCUCGUGACCUGUCGGGAGCUCUGUAGGGAAGGACCCGUCUUUUGUAAUUUCCUACGGUUUCCUAAUAAGGGUGAAAAUGCGGGCACCUCUGAACUUGCAAGCUGGGAGUUCUGAUACAAGUAAACUACAGAAUUUGUUGUUAUUCGGGUUUAUUUGGAGGCUUUUACUUGUCGUUUUUAUGUGUUCUCUUAGUGUGUAAAUUGGAAAAAAGGGUGGCAUCCAUAAAAUGACGACUUUGUAUAUGGAGGCUGGGAUAAGCAGUACCUAGUCUGGCUUGAUGAAAUCAGUGUAAUUUUAGUUUAGAUGAAAUCUAGUUUUCGUUUGCAUUAUCCAGGAGUGGCAUCUGGAGAGGCUCGGUGUAAAAAGCGGUUAAAGAGCUUCCAGGAGUGGUUAAUCCUUUUGUAAGCUAUUUGAAGCCAAAAUGGAAAUCAAGGUAUAUUGGAAGUAAAGUAAGAAUUUAAGCUUCAAAAGGGCGCAGGUUUUGUCCCCGUUUUACAGAUGAUGAAACAGACUGGAAGGUUUCCGACGCGCCGCGGGCCGGGCGGGGCUGCGCCGGCUCCCUCCGGCUCCCUCCGGCCGUCGCCCACCCGCGUCUGUUCCCAUUUCUGCAACCGUGGUUCCCCCUGACUUCUCGUGUGUGUGUUCCUCUCGCGCGCCCUUUUACUUCCUCUGUUUCUUUAACUUCCCCUGUUUUCUUGAUAGUUGAGCCAGCCUUUCCUUCCUCUCCUUUAAAUGCCUCUCCCUUAAAUGGCCGUAAAGAGAAAUAGACCAACUUAAGUUGAUUUUCAUAAGGAUUAUUUUCUUGCUUUAAGGUUUUAUUUUGGGGAGGGGAGUUCAUAGAUAUAAAAUUUCCUCUAGUAAGAGUUGCCUUCCGCUUCCAUAGCUGUUCAGUGAGGGUAGGAGUCUGUGUGUGUGUGUGAAUAGUGAAGAAAAGAGUGUGUGGUGAGCUGUUUAGAAUCAGAAACAGGAGAAAAAUAAUCUAUACAUAAACAAAGAGGUGCUCUAAAUGAUGCCAAACUCAGUUCGAAAUGACAGCGGAGCUGUAGGUUCUGUAAAACUCCGGAAACACGCACUAUUCCCCCUCAGUCCCGGCGCAGGCCUCAGUGAUGCCUUUCCUCAGAGGAUUUGGGGCUUUCCUGGGAUAAACCUGUAGCUUUAGCUGUCCCAGAGGAAGUAAUCACAGGGGCUCUGUGUGAAAUAAAAUAAUGCAUCAGUGUUUCCAGACUACAAGGCCACCCUGUGGGCCUCUCAGUGUGGCAGCACCUGUUCCCAGUUCUGCCAGCGGAUGCUGUUACUCUGGCUCUACACUCGGGGAACCUAAAGCCCGGUGAGUCACUUGCCUGACAUUACAGACCUCCAAGGAGGCCCAGGUUCUGCUGUUUCCAGUGACCUCAUCUCUGAGCAAACAUGUCUGGUGAUAAAGACUAUCAAAUUUAAAAUGAAAAAUAGAAUUCACUACAACAUACUCAUGCCAACUGACUGAAGUAUGCUCUCUUACCACCAAUUUAUCUCUUUGGUGUUUGUCUUAUUCUGCUUGGUGAACAGAAACUUGCAGAAAUUGAUUGGAAACAUAUUUCGUAUUUUGCUAAAGCAUUUGAAAUUACUCCUGAAGUCUGGUUUAUGUUUUAGUUUUACUUGAAAGUUGCUUAGAGAGUAAAUCUUUUUCCCCCAGCUCUAUUUAGAUAGAAUUGACAAGUCACUUUGUAUAAGUGCUGAUUUGAUACAUUUAUAUAUUGCAAAAUAAUUAGCUAACACCUCCACCGUGUCACAUAAUUACCAUUUCUUUUUUGUAGUGAAAAUACUUAAGAUCUACUCUCUUAGCAACAUUCAAGUAUGUAAUGCAGUAUUAUUAGCUAUAAUCACCAUGCUAUACAUUAGAUUCCCCCGAACUUAUUAAUUUUAUAACUGGGAAGUUUGUACCCUUUGACCUCUGUCUCCCCAUUUCUUCCACCCCCCCCAACCCCCCAAACCCCUGGUAACCACCACUCUACUGUCUGUUUGGCUGAGUUUGGCUUUGUUAAGAAGAAAACCACAGCCCAAAAUGGCAUCACUUGUGCCAAAAGCCCAUGAUACCAAACCUAGAUUUAAUACCUGAUCUAAUUGCAGUUUUAACUUUUCCCAGAAAUGUAAUCUUAACCAACCAGUCUGGAAUUUUCUGGUCAGGCAGUAGUAAGGUGAUCUGUUGCAUAGGCCGUCUCCAUCCUCCAGAGGAAGAAGAGGUAAUCUGGGUGGUAAAACCCAUGCCAGUUCCCUCCCCAAGAAGAGGUCCUGGCCCAAACUAACCCUCUCUUUUCAUUUGCUAAUGACUUCCUUGGUCCACCCUUCUUCCUAUAAAAACCAUCCCUUUUGUACAACACCUGGGAGUGCCCUUCUACUUUCUAGAUGGAAUACUGCUCCAUUCAAGAAUUGCUUCAUAAAGUCAAUUAGAGCUUCAGAUUUACUUGGUUGAAUUUUGUUUUUAACAGGUUUUUUAGAUUCCACAGGUAAGUGACAGCACACAGUAUUUGUCUUUCUCUGACUUUCUUCGCUAGCAUCAUGCCCUCAAGUUUCACCCAACUUGUCACAAACUGCAAAAUUUCCUUCUUUCUCAUGGCUGAAUAGUAUUCCUAGAUAGAUAGAUAGGUAUUGGACAUGAAUAAGAAGAUGUGACAUAUAUGUGUCACAUCUUUAUUCAUUCAUCCAUUGAUGGACACUUAGGUUGUUUGCAUAUCUUGGCUCUUGUGAAUAAUGCUGCAGUGAACAUGGGAGUGCAGAUGUCCUCUCAGAUCCUGAUUUCAAUUCCUUUGGCGAUAUUCCCAGAAGUGGGAUUGCUGGACCAUAUGGCAGUUCUAUUUUUAAUUUUUAGGAACCUCCAUACUGUUUUCCCUGUGGCUCUAUCAAUUUGCGUUCCCACCAACAGUGCACAAGAGUACUCUUUUCUUCACACCCUUGCCAACGCUUGUUAUCUGUGGUCUUGUUUUUGGGGGGGGGAGGAGAGGGGGGAGAAGAUUAGCCCUGAGCUAACAUCUGCUGCCAAUUCUCCUCUUUUUGCUUAGGAAGACUGGCCCUGAGCUAACAUCCGUGCGCAUCUUCUUCUAUUUUAUAUGUGGGACACCUACCAUAGCACGGCUUGCCAAGCAGUGCCAUGUCCGCACCCGGGAUCCAAACUGGCGAACCCCGGGCCACCGAAGUGAAACGUGCGCACUUAACCUCUGUGCCACCAGGCUGGCCCCUUUCUUGUCUUUUUGAUGAUUACCAUUCUAACAGCAUCACUGAUGAGCCAUGUGUAGGUCCAUGCCUGGAAUCCAAACCCAUGAACCCCAGGCUGCUGAAGCAGAGCAUGCGAACUUAACCGCUACACCACAGGGCGGCCUUUCUUCUCUUCUUAUAAGGACAUCAGUCAUUGGAUUUAGCAUCUAUCUUAAUCUGUUGGAUUCCAUGUGUACUGGAUCCCAGCUCUCCCUCUGUUUUGGCUUACUACCUUAUCUUGGUAGAAAGCAUCCUCCAGUAGCUUCUUAUGGAAGAGUGCAUUGAAGAUGUCGCCGCAUGUUUUCCCUUAGAAGAGGACUUCCUCGUCACGUAACUAGUUCAAUAUGCCGCACUCUGUCCUGGGAAUGGAUGUUCCACCCGUCAAAGCGACUCGAUGUGGAUGAGCUGAUCACACACGACCACACCUUCAGGGCAAAUGUCCCUGGGUAUCAAUAAAGCUCUGCAUACCGAAAAGGGUGUAAAUUCCAGACCCCGCCCAGAUGAACCGGGUCUAAAGUUACAAAUAACAUGUAUCGUGGCCAAGUUCAUCGACAGGAACUGUUUCCGCAAGAAAGAUGCUGAUCAAAACAGAGUUGAACAGAAGACGGAGUAGAAGAAAGGGAAAAUGAAUGAUUCAGUUAUUGCUAACUCGUAGGAUAUAAAUAUUUGGUAAAUAAGAAACGAACUUUUGAGAGAAAAACGUUAAUUCACUGAGAAAUAAGGAUAAUGAAUUCAUUUUAAUUGUCUGCCUAAUUUCAUACAUGUAACCUACUUCUUUCCUUGAUGUCAUAUUAUCAUGGGAUCUUUAGAAGGGACCUUGAAAUUUCAUGUGACACAUUUCAGUGAUUGCAGGUCAGAACUCAUUUCAUCCAUCCAGGGAAGUGAGAGUCUAUCUGCUCUCAAAGAAUUAGGAAGAAAGGGAUUCCAACCUGAUGGGGAAACGAAAUGAUAAGGAUUAUGAGAAUGAUGGGAUGGGGAGGGGGCCUUUUUCUGUUGCCCCGGAUUUGAAAGAAGGCCCAGAGCUAAAAACGGUAAUCGGGAUCUGAAACUUUCUCCAAAGUUUUUCUAAGGGGCUGAUGAACUGGGCCUCAGUCCCCACCUACACCCCCUGCCCCUUAAUACCCAGUCCAGGGUCUACAGCAGAAGCCUGAGGAGAAGUGAGGUGGGCCGUUCCUCCCCUCCCACUGGGGAGGGACUUCUCCUGACUCCCACUGCCUAGUAACGAAAGAGGCUCUGACAGUGGCUUUCAGGGCUGAGCCUGGUCACCUCUGCUUAGGUAGCAGACUUGCUGGGCUGCCAUUCCUCCCAGAGCCCAGAAGAUGGAAGCUGGGGAGACCUGGCUGGCCCGGUGGAAUUGGCGACAGUGGAGCAGCCAGCUUGCCCGCCUAUUAUGUCGCAUGACCAGGGUGCAGGAAAUUCCUUAGGACCAGAGGACGUAAGGAAGGCAGCUAUCCUUGAGCCACCUGGCUAUACGCCCCUCCCACCCCCAAAGACUGUGCACCAUGAUUUGGGUAUAUUACUGGGCUAGUUGAGGGGUAAGUGGGAGAGGUCCAGCUAGAGCUGAAUCUUCCGUAUUGGGGCACUGCGCACUGGGAAGACCCGUCUGGCUAAAUUUCACAUGUGCUCCCCAUGAGGCAGAGUUCAGAUGCUGGCAUGCACACUCAGGGUUGCCGGAGAAGCAGAGCAGUCAACAGAGAGGGGGCCACAGCUGUCUCUUUCCUUCGCUUUCUUCCUGACUCCCAUCCUGAGGGGAGCCAGGCCUGGGAGGGGGAAGAAGGAGUGUCUCAGAGCCUGGACUCCCUCCAGCCUCAUCUCACUCCAAGCAGUCAGGGGCUCGACACGUGCCCUCUCUGCAGGGGUGGGAGAGGGAUGAGAUAGACUUAUGUAGAGUUUGAAAUUGAAGUCUUAGAUGAUCUUCUUUUAGUAUCCAAAAGUGAAUAGGAAGUGAUGCAGUCUGCCCAGGAUGUCAUGGAGUGAUGGCAAAGGGAAAAGUGGAAGAUGACAAAGGCGGGUGCAGUUCUGAUCACCAGUUCCAGUGUGUGGUUUUUUUCCCCACAGCACCAAGCAAUUCUCAAGUCACCAGCAGGGUGUCCUGUAAUUCAGCUCAGUUCUGAUGCUGUCUACGGGAGACAGCAUCAGAUUCCACAGGGUAAGGGCUCAGCCCCACGAGACUGCCUCCAAUUCAGAUGCCAAUCCCAAGUCCAGGUUGUCACCUGUGCUUCUGCCCAACUGGCUGUAAAUUAAAGGAACCCAGGACCCCCUCCUCAGGUUCAAUUAAUUUGCUAGAGCAGCUGACAGAACUCAGGAAAACAGUUUACUUACUAGAUUACCAGUUUGUUAUAAAGGACAUUAAAGGAUAUGAAUCAACUGCCAGGUGAAGAGAUACACAGGACAAUGUCCCAAAUGAAGGAGCUUCUGACCCUGUGGAGUUUGGGACCUGGCACAUGGCAGCAUUCUGGUUCACCAACCUAGAAGCUCUCUGAAUCUCGUCCUUUUGGGUUUUUAUGGAGGCUUCAUUACAUAGGCAUGAUUAGUUAAAUCAAUGGCCAUGGGUGACUGAUUCAAUCUUCAGGCCCUCUCCCCUCCUGGGAGGUCAGGGGGUGGGACUGAAAUUUCCGACUCUCUGUUCACAGGAUUGGGUUCUCUGACAGCCAGCCCCCCUCCUAGGUGCUUUCCGGAGUGACCUCCUUAACCUAACAAAAGACACCUUUAUCUCUCUCACUUAGGAAAUUCCAAGGCUUUCCGGAGCUCUGUGCCAGGAGAAGGAUGAAGACCAAACAUAUAUUUCUUAUUAUAAAUCACAUAUCACAGCAGGGAUUAGGAAGAAGUUAGGUUAUUUCACAUUUAUGUCCCAUUAAGUAGAGACAAAUUGGCUACGUAAGUAUAUAGUGGGAAUGCUAUUUAAAAACUGAUAUAAUUCUUAUUUUCCUAAUUCCUGUUCCUCUUCCAUCCUUCACCUUUAAGGCUUAUUUCCCAGGGAAGAAAAUGAUGAUAUCAAAGAAAUUCUGAAGGAAAUCGUGACAAUCAGUGUUUUCCACCCAAUGGGAAGAGAAAGUAGAUAUCACUUCUAGUUUCUAGGAAGCUGUGUCUUUUGGGGCUGCCAUGAAAAAAUACCACAGAUUGGCCUAAACAACACAAAUUUAUUUUCGCUCAGUUCUGGAGGCUGGAAGUCCAAGAUCAAGAUGCCAGUAGAUUUGGUUCCAGCAUAAUAUACAGAAAUGCUGAACAUUCCAUUCAACCACGUGGGACAAACUGGGAAUUCCUGAGGAUUAAAUUUCAGCAUGAGGAAUGAGAAAAUUCCAUACAAUUAAGAGGAGACAGGAAGAAGGAAAUGGCAGACCAGAGGUGACAUCACAUUUGAGGUGUGAUCAACAUCAUUGGUCAGCACCGAGGGGGGACAUUCCAGACAGUUCUGGAGAGCUGGACCUGAGGUCGGAGAGCAAUCUUGUAAGCAGAGAAGAAAGGAGCAUCAAACAGUGCCUAUUUUGGGGACCUUGACCGUCCAGUAAAUCGCAUCAUAGUACACCCACCGUUACAACGUUUUACAUUUGCAUAACAGUUUUGGUCUAAGAAUCUUGGAGAUUUUUCAAGAAACAGCAUUGCUAUUAUAGUUCUGUUUUAAUAUAAGUGGAAAUAGUGAAUCACAGGAUUAAAGUAACUUUUCAAGGCAUUGUUUAGUGCUAGAUGAGGCUGUUAGUUGGUAAGAAGUAUAAAAAUCAAGAAGAAAUGUACAUGAAUCUAACGACAUUGGCCAAAAUAAAGCAGAAUUGUGAUCCCAACAA